rnacentral:rRNA from 1 species
GGGUUGUGAGGUUAAGCGACCAAGCGUACACGGUGGAUGCCCUGGCAGUCAGAGGCGAUGAAGGACGUGCUAAUCUGCGAAAAGCGCCGGCGAGGUGAUAUGAACCCUUGACCCGGCGAUGUCCGAAUGGGGAAACCCAGUGUGACUCGUCACACUAUCAUUAACUGAAUCCAUAGGUUAAUGAGGCGAACCGGGGGAACUGAAACAUCUAAGUACCCCGAGGAAAAGAAAUCAACCGAGAUUCCCCCAGUAGCGGCGAGCGAACGGGGAGGAGCCCAGAGCCUGAAUCAGCAGGUGUGUUAGUGGAAGUGUCUGGAAAGGCACGCGAUACAGGGUGAGAGCCCCGUACACGAAAAUGCACCUGCUGUGAGCUCGAUGAGUAGGGCGGGACACGUGGUAUCCUGUCUGAAUAUGGGGGGACCAUCCUCCAAGGCUAAAUACUCCUGACUGACCGAUAGUGAACCAGUACCGUGAGGGAAAGGCGAAAAGAACCCCGGCGAGGGGAGUGAAAAAGAACCUGAAACCGUGUACGUACAAGCAGUGGGAGCCCCACCACUAAGCCAGUGGUGAGUUCCAUGACGCAUCCUUUGCUGAGGAGAGGGUUAACGGAGCGUAAGCGACGUUCAACCGCAAAAGAAGCAGAGGGGGCUUAGUGGUGGGGUGACUGCGUACCUUUUGUAUAAUGGGUCAGCGACUUAUAUUCUGUAGCAAGGUUAACCGAAUAGGGGAGCCGGAGGGAAACCGAGUCUUAAUUGGGCGUUAAGUUGCAGGGUAUAGACCCGAAACCCGGUGAUCUAGCCAUGGGCAGGUUGAAGGUUGGGUAACACUAACUGGAGGACCGAACCGACUAAUGUUGAAAAAUUAGCGGAUGACCUGUGGCUGGGGGUGAAAGGCCAAUCAAACCGGGAGAUAGCUGGUUCUCCCCGAAAGCUAUUUAGGUAGCGCCUCGUGAACUCAUCUCCGGGGGUAGAGCACUGUUUCGGCUAGGGGGCCAUCCCGGCUUACCAACCCGAUGCAAACUGCGAAUACCGGAGAAUGUUAUCACGGGAGACACACGGCGGGUGCUAACGUCCGUCGUGAAGAGGGAAACAACCCAGACCGCCAGCUAAGGUCCCAAAGUCAUGGUUAAGUGGGAAACGAUGUGGGAAGGCCCAGACAGCCAGGAUGUUGGCUUAGAAGCAGCCAUCAUUUAAAGAAAGCGUAAUAGCUCACUGGUCGAGUCGGCCUGCGCGGAAGAUGUAACGGGGCUAAACCAUGCACCGAAGCUGCGGCAGCGGCACGCAAGUGUUGUUGGGUAGGGGAGCGUUCUGUAAGCCGUUGAAGGUGUGCUGUGAGGCAUGCUGGAGGUAUCAGAAGUGCGAAUGCUGACAUAAGUAACGAUAAAGCGGGUGAAAAGCCCGCUCGCCGGAAGACCAAGGGUUCCUGUCCAACGUUAAUCGGGGCAGGGUGAGUCGACCCCUAAGGCGAGGCCGAAAGGCGUAGUCGAUGGGAAACGGGUUAAUAUUCCCGUACUUGGUGUUACUGCGAAGGGGGGACGGAGAAGGCUAUGUUGGCCGGGCGACGGUUGUCCCGGUUUAAGCGUGUAGGCUGGUUUUCCAGGCAAAUCCGGAAAAUCAAGGCUGAGGCGUGACGACGAAGCACCACGGUGCUGAAGCAACAAAUGCCCUGCUUCCAGGAAAAGCCUCUAAGCGUCAGGUAACAUCAAAUCGUACCCCAAACCGACACAGGUGGUCAGGUAGAGAAUACCAAGGCGCUUGAGAGAACUCGGGUGAAGGAACUAGGCAAAAUGGUGCCGUAACUUCGGGAGAAGGCACGCUGACAUGUAGGUGAAGCGGUUUACCCGUGGAGCUGAAGUCAGUCGAAGAUACCAGCUGGCUGCAACUGUUUAUUAAAAACACAGCACUGUGCAAACACGAAAGUGGACGUAUACGGUGUGACGCCUGCCCGGUGCCGGAAGGUUAAUUGAUGGGGUCAGCGGUAACGCGAAGCUCCUGAUCGAAGCCCCGGUAAACGGCGGCCGUAACUAUAACGGUCCUAAGGUAGCGAAAUUCCUUGUCGGGUAAGUUCCGACCUGCACGAAUGGCGUAAUGAUGGCCAGGCUGUCUCCACCCGAGACUCAGUGAAAUUGAACUCGCUGUGAAGAUGCAGUGUACCCGCGGCAAGACGGAAAGACCCCGUGAACCUUUACUAUAGCUUGACACUGAACACUGGUCCUUGAUGUGCAGGAUAGGUGGGAGGCUUUGAAGCGUGGACGCCAGUCUGCGUGGAGCCGUCCUUGAAAUACCACCCUUUAAUGGCUGGUGUUCUAACGUGGGCCCCUGACCGGGGUUGCGGACAGUGUCUGGUGGGUAGUUUGACUGGGGCGGUCUCCUCCCAAAGAGUAACGGAGGAGCACGAAGGUUGGCUAAUCCUGGUCGGACAUCAGGAGGUUAGUGCAAUGGCAUAAGCCAGCUUGACUGCGAGCGUGACGGCGCGAGCAGGUGCGAAAGCAGGUCAUAGUGAUCCGGUGGUUCUGAAUGGAAGGGCCAUCGCUCAACGGAUAAAAGGUACUCCGGGGAUAACAGGCUGAUACCGCCCAAGAGUUCAUAUCGACGGCGGUGUUUGGCACCUCGAUGUCGGCUCAUCACAUCCUGGGGCUGAAGUAGGUCCCAAGGGUAUGGCUGUUCGCCAUUUAAAGUGGUACGCGAGCUGGGUUUAGAACGUCGUGAGACAGUUCGGUCCCUAUCUGCCGUGGGCGCUGGAAGAUUGAGGGGGGCUGCUCCUAGUACGAGAGGACCGGAGUGGACGCAUCACUGGUGUUCGGGUUGUCAUGCCAAUGGCACUGCCCGGUAGCUAAAUGCGGAAGAGAUAAGUGCUGAAAGCAUCUAAGCACGAAACUUGCCCCGAGAUGAAUCUUCCCUGAGACUUUAAGUCUCCUGAAGGAACGUUGAAGACGACGACGUUGAUAGGCCGGGUGUGUAAGCGCAGCGAUGCGUUGAGCUAACCGGUACUAAUGAACCGUGAGGCUUAACCUUACAACGCCGAAG